GAGCAUAGAGCCGGCCAAAUUUCCAUGUCAUAUUCCUACUAAAAAAUUGAGGUGUUUAAUUAAGAGUAUUUUUGGCAUUUGGCCAACCCACCAAAUUAACAGGUCCUUUUCUUUUGUGGGGGCAUCUUUGUUUGGUCUCUUUGUUGAUGGACUUGGCCGAUUUAGAGACAAAUUAAAAGGGAGCGAUCUUAGCCCUACAAAACCCAAAUCUCCAAAGUAAAUUUCGGGACCAUAUUCUUAUCUAUAACAAAUCACAAAUGCAAGUCGCUUUCACGUCCACAUCUCAUAACCGAGGAAGCACAUACAGACAUCUUAAUUACCAAUUGGAUAAUAAAUCUAAUGAAAUAUUGUAUUUGAUAAAUUUAUUAUUAAAAAAAAUUAUUUACUGUAGUGCCCCAUAAAACUAUGGUCAAAUCUCACUUUACCAUUUGAAAGUUGAAGUGGCCCACUUUACCCCAUUGACCGAUGUUUUGCAUCUCAAUUUACCCUACACUGUCAAGUCAGUCAAAAACUCUGUUAAAAAUGUUGACGUGGCAUGUAUAGGACCCACAAAUUUGUUGAAUUGGAUGCCACGUAGGUGUCAUGUGUAAAAAAAUAAAGAGAAAUAUUCUUUUCUUUUAAAAAACUUAACUCAAUUAUUAAUAAUAAAAGAAAAAUAACCAUAAAAAUAUAGAGAAACAAAAAAAAAAUAUUAACAGGAAAUUUAAAAAACUAACAACACCGUCUUCUCCACCAUCGCCACUUAAAAAUCUCCUCCUUCACCCCACCCCCUCCCUUCGUACCUAGCCAACCUUUUAUUUUUAUCUAGUGUAUAUAAAAUCAUAUCUAUAAAAUGUGGUCUCUUUGUAAUAAGGAAUUGCCUUAAAAUAUUGCCCACGAUUAUUGUGAUUUUGAUGAUGGUGAGGAGGAUACUGGUGUAAUAGGCUUGGCUGAGAGGAGAGGGCCUCCAUCCUAACGUCUCCCCACCUCAAGACAACCUCUCUAUUUCUCUUCAAAUCGGACGAGCCCGAAACUCCAGAUUCACCGAGGACUCAACCCAAUCACCAUUCUAGAUCCGUCAUGGACUGAAUCUAACGGCAAUACCAUAUCCAACCCUUAAAUACCAAGGCCAUGCCACCGUCUUCUUUACCAAGCUUUUUGCCCCUGCAACCCACAACUCAUCCUCGCCACAAAUGUAUUCAUUGUUCUUGUUUUUCUUUUUUUUUUUCUUUUGUGCGGUGGGUAUGGCUUGUGGUGGGUUUGGUGGUUAUGUAUGAUGGUGGGGUGGUUGUUGCUUGCAGAAGGAGAAGGAAGGAUGAUGAGGGCUUAUUUAGGGAUACAUAGAGGUUGGGUAUGCGUAAACUGGGUCUGGAGGAGGGGAUUGGAAUUGUUUUUUUGUUUAAAAUAUUAUUAUUAAUAAUUGAGUUAAGUUUUUUAAAAGAAACUCUUUUUUUUUUUUUUUCACAUGGCACCUACGUGGCAUCCAAUUCAACAAACUUGUGGGUCCAAUUUGUGCCAUUUCCUCAUUUUUAACAGAGUUUUUGACUGAAUUGAUGGUGGGGGGUAAAUUGAGAUGCAAAACAUUGGUUAAGACGGUAAAGUGGGCCACUAUAACUUUCAGAGGGUAAAAUGGGAUUUGACCAUAGUUUCAGGGGCACUAAUGUAAAUAAGCUCUAAAACAACCCUAGCCCCCUCUCCCAAAAAAUCCUCCUAGAGUCGUUUUCACUUUGAGGGGGGAGGAAGCCACUAUUCUUCUUCCCAUCUCUCCUCUCCCCUCUCCCUUCUCCAUUCUCCCCUCUUCCUUCUCCCUCCCUCUUCUCUUCCUCCCUCUCUUCUUCUUUCAUUUUCAGAGACAAAACGUUUUCCCUAUUUAUCUUCGUUUUGUUAUGAUUUCCCUCCAACUAUCACAGGCAGUUACGUCUCGACGUCGGAUUUCCACCUGCAUUUCGAUAUCAAAUCUCAUCUUUCUUUUUGUGAGCGUUUUAUUUGUAUUGUUAUGGCUUGGUUUUUUUCAAGCUUUAUCUUUUUUUUAUUAUUCUGAGUUUGCAAUCUUAGUUGAGAUGCAUGUGUAAGAGUUUCCUUGAUCAUGCGUGAUCAUUAGUGGAGGCACACCAGAUUGUCAUAAUUUGUUAGACCGCUCCUUUACUAUAAUGGCCCUUUUGUGACUAGUUUAUAUUGGCCCUUUAUGGAUAGUUUGUAUUGGCACUUUAUGGCUAGUUUGUAUUGGUCCUUUGUGACUAGUGACUUUUUUAGCUGAAUUAUGAAUGCAAUCCUAGAAUUUCUCAACAAAAAAAGAAAGAUAAACUAUUAAUUUAAUCAAUGUAAUUAUGCAUAUUGUAUUUUAUGCAACCAGUCGGGCCUUGGCAGUAAUUCUUUUUUUUUUUCACCAAUAUUUUCUAACCCCUUUCCCAAAUUGUUUUCAUUGUUACAUGUUUUCUC
rnacentral:lncRNA from 1 species